rnacentral:rRNA from 1 species
UACGGAGGGUGCAAGCGUUAUCCGGAUUCACUGGGUUUAAAGGGUGCGUAGGUGGGCUUGUAAGUCAGCGGUGAAAUCUCCGGGCUUAACCCGGAAACUGCCAUUGAUACUAUAAGUCUUGAAUUAUCUGGAGGUGAGCGGAAUAUGUCAUGUAGCGGUGAAAUGCUUAGAUAUGACAUAGAACACCAAUUGCGAAGGCAGCUCACUACGGAUCGAUUGACACUGAGGCACGAAAGCGUGGGGAUCAAACAGG